UAGGGAAUCUUCGGCAAUGGACGAAAGUCUGACCGAGCAACGCCGCGUGAGUGAAGAAGGUUUUCGGAUCGUAAAACUCCGUUGUUAGAGAAGAACAAGGACGUUAGUAACUGAACGUCCCCUGACGGUAUCUAACCAGAAAGCCACGGCUAACUACGUGCCAGCAGCCGCGGUAAUACGUAGGUGGCAAGCGUUGUCCGGAUUUAUUGGGCGUAAAGCGAGCGCAGGCGGUUUCUUAAGUCUGAUGUGAAAGCCCCCGGCUCAACCGGGGAGGGUCAUUGGAAACUGGGAGGCUUGAGUGCAGAAGAGGAGAGUGGAAUUCCAUGGGUAGCGGUGAAAUGCGUAGAUAUAUGGAGGAACACCAGUGGCGAAGGCGGCUCUCUGGUCUGUAACUGACGCUGAGGAUAGAAAGCGUGGGGAGCAAACAGG
rnacentral:rRNA from 1 species